CCGCCCGUGGCGUAGCUGGAUAACGCAGCAGAUUCCGAUUCUGAAGAUCGGGGGUUCGAAUCCCUCCGGGCGGGCCA
rnacentral:tRNA from 1 species